rnacentral:lncRNA from 1 species
AUGAUUGGAAUGAGCAAGACAUUAGUGAGUUUGUUGCUUUUUGAUGGAACCAAAUGGCAGAACUCUGAAGCGGACAUCGAGCAUCGAACACAGGCCUUGAAGCGUGAGGGUUUCUGGUCAACGAAGCGCCUCAGCCGCCUGACGGAGCCUCAGCGACCCAAAGUUCAUUGGGAUUACUUGUGCGAGGAGAUGCAGUGGCUUUCUGCUGACUUUGCUCAAGAGAGACGCUGGAAGAGAGGCGUGGCCAGAAAGGUGGUCCGAAUGGUGGUGCGACAUCACGAAGAGCUUCGGCAAAAAGAGGAAAAAGCAAAAAGAGACGAACAUGCCAAAAUCAGAAAAAUUGCCUCCAAUAUCGCAAAGGAAAUCCGAUCUUUCUGGAGUAAUGUUGAGAAGGUGGUUCAGUUCAAGCAGCAGUCCAGGCUGGAGGAGAAGCGGAAGAAGGCUUUAGAUUUGCAGCUGGACUUCAUCGUAGGCCAGACGGAGAAAUACUCCGACCUUCUCAGCAAGUCACUGGCUCCCAGCAGUCUGCAUGUUUUCUCUACCAAAACCCCUUAUCUCCACACAGACAGAGACUUCGAGCCUCCGUGUGAAGAGGAAGAUGACGAGGAAACCAUAGAGGUUGAGGAGCAGCAGGAGGGCAAUGAUGCUGAGAGCCAUCAGAGGGAAAUUGAACUACUGAAGGAAGAGAGCAUGUUGCCCCUUGAUCAACUUCUCAGCACUCUCAAAUUACCUCCUCCACAGAUACCUCAUCUAAAUGAAGAGGAAGAGGAGCAGGAGCGGGAGGAAGAGGAAGAUGGGGAAUUUACUGCUAAUGAUGAGGACGCCGAGGAUGAAGAGGACACCAUAGCAGCACAGGAGAAGAUAGAAGGAAAUGUCGAUCAUGCAGAGGAGCUUGAUGACUUGAACAGAGAGGGGGAAAUGAGCAUUGAAGAGCUGCUGGAGAAGUAUAAAGGAGCUUAUGUGUCCGAUUUCGAAGAACCAUCUGGUUCUGGCUCAAAAGCAAGCUCCAAUUUGGAGGUUUCUGGUGACGAGGAGGUGGAGACUGAAGAAGAUGAGAGUGACGUUGAAAGCAACACAUCUUCCUCAGACAGCGCUGAAGAUGAGGAAAGCGACAAGGAGGAGAUGAGUAAUGAGGAAGCAGAUGAUGAUGAAGGAAUGGAGCUUUUGCUGAAGGAGGGAGACGGCAGUCUGUCUUCUUCCGGCUCUCGACCAAAGAAAGAAAUCAGUCAUAUUGCUGCUACUGCUGAGAGCCUGCAGCCUAAAGGUUACACUCUGGCUACUACAAAGGUCAAGACUCCUAUUCCAUUCCUGCUUCAUGGCACUUUAAGAGAAUACCAGCACAUCGGGCUGGACUGGUUGGUCACCAUGUAUGAGAAGAAGCUGAAUGGAAUACUAGCAGAUGAAAUGGGUCUGGGUAAAACCAUCCAAACCAUUGCUCUGCUGGCUCACCUUGCCUGUGAAAAAGUGAACUGGGGCCCCCAUCUCAUCAUUGUCCCCACCAGUGUGAUGCUAAACUGGGAAAUGGAGUUGAAACGCUGGUGUCCCGGGUUCAAAAUCCUCACUUACUUUGGCAGCCAGAAGGAAAGAAAGCUUAAGAGACAGGGCUGGACGAAGCCGAACGCUUUCCACGUGUGCAUCACCUCAUAUAAGCUGGUGCUGCAGGAUCACCAGGCCUUUAGGCGGAAGUCUUGGCGUUAUUUAAUCCUCGACGAAGCUCAGAACAUCAAGAACUUCAAGUCCCAGCGUUGGCAGAGUCUGCUGAACUUCAACAGCCACCGGCGACUGCUGCUGACGGGAACGCCUCUCCAGAACAGCCUGAUGGAGCUUUGGUCCCUCAUGCACUUCCUGAUGCCUCACGUCUUUCAGUCCCACCGAGAGUUCAAGGAGUGGUUCUCGAAUCCGCUGACGGGGAUGAUUGAGGGCAGUCAGGAGUACAACGAGGGUCUGGUGAAGAGACUUCACAAGGUGCUGAGGCCGUUUCUUCUCAGGAGGAUCAAGGCUGACGUUGAGAAGCAGAUGCCCAAAAAAUACGAACAUGUGGUGCGCUGCCGUCUCUCUAAGAGGCAGCGAUUUCUCUACGACGACUUCAUGGCACAAGCUUCGACCCGUGAAACUUUAGCCAGUGGACACUUCAUGUCUGUGAUCAACAUUCUCAUGCAGCUCCGCAAAGUGUGCAACCACCCCAACCUGUUUGACCCCCGACCCAUCCAGUCGCCCUUCAUCACACAGCCCAUCGUCUUCUACACUGCCUCCAUAGUGCAGGAUGCACUGGACGUUCCCCCUCUCAAGCGCUGCGAUCUUUCGAUGUUUAAUUUGAUCGGUUUGGAGGGUCGCAUGACCCGUUACCAAGCAGACAACUUCCUGCCACGACAGAAGGUCACCCGGCAGCUGAUCCAGGAGAUAAUUGAGGCUCCGGCACCUACCACGGCAAGAACUAGAGAAUACACACACAGAGAUAUUCUUAACGGAGUAACAUUAGAUCUUUACAGGAUCAUCUUUUUGUGGUUUUACAACUGUCACAAUGCUUGUCUGGUUUCAGUGGUGUGUUCAGUUGCACCCACUCCUCCGCCUCGUCCUUCUGUGCAUCCUGCUCCUCAAACUGCUGUGAGAUCCACUACUCCCAAGCCAAUGCUGACUAUCCGGGCACCUGCUGCUCCUUGUGCAGCCGGUGUUCCAGCCCAUCCGAGUCCAAACCCCAGCAGCGUCCUACCACAAAGGGUUUUACUGAGUCCUGACAUGCAAGCAAGGCUGCCUUCUGGUGAAGUGGUCAGCAUAGCACAGUUGGCUUCCCUGGCAGGCCGACCCGUUUCUUCGUGUCAGGGCAGUAAACCCGUCACCUUCCAACUUCAGGGCAACAAGCUGACUCUGUCGGGAGCCCAGAUUCAUCAGGUCCCAGCCGCUAGUCCACGCCCAGUUCAAGCACCCUCAACAAUGGUGAGCAGCCAGGGAGUUGUGAAGAUCGUUGUUCGUCAACCAACAGGCAAGGAAGGUGUGCCUGUGCCCACACUGGCAAUGGCCCCUUCUCCCCGUGUUGCUCCCCUGGCACCCUCACACCCGCACCCACAGAUCACUGCUGCCCCCCUCAGAAACACUGCUACCCCCCUCAGAAACACUGCUCCACUGUACCCUAGCUCAACUCCUAGCCACCCCCAACCCCCCCGCCCCAUCCUUAAAGUAGUCCAACCGCCUUCAGCCAGCACAGAGCAGCCAGGUGAGAGCACAAGUGAUUUGAAUUCUGUCUGGGUUUUAUUUGAUUUCAGUGUCCGUUAUUUUUGUCAUCUGAAAGAAACAUAUAUUUUUAUGUCUUCUCGGAUUUAUGUUUUGCAUCAUCUUUCUUCUUUGAUUUCUUUUAUUCAACAGUCAUGGCUGGAUAAUACCCUCAAAGACCAGAUCAAAAGCCGACUGGACCUCAUUUCUCGAGUCAAUGAUCGUCAUUGUGGAGUAAAGCCGGUGUACGGUGUAGAGGUUCUUGACUUUCUGACGUUUCUACCUGGUCCUCAUCCAUCUCCUGCUGCUUUGGACUCUGAAGGAGAGUGGAGCCGGUCGGGUCACAACAGCUGUUUGUUUGAACGGUUGGAGCUCCUCAGUGAUAAAAUAGACAGGUUUACAUUUGUUAUUCCUCCAGUCGAGGCUUCUCAGAUCUCCAUGCACUGCUGUCAUCCUCCUCCAUCUCUGCACCUCAAACAGGAAGUCUUUUCAUCUGCACUUUCAGCUCACGUUGCUCCUCUGACUCGUAGCCUUCAUCGUAUCCAGUGUAACACGAGGACUCAGUUCCCUGACCUGAGGCUCAUCCAGUAUGAUUGUGGUAAACUUCAGACUCUCCAUGUUCUGCUGCGAAAACUGAAGACGGAAGGGCACAGAGUGUUGAUUUUCACCCAGAUGACUCGCAUGCUAGAUGUGCUGGAGCAAUUCCUCAACUACCACGGGCACAUUUACCUGCGCUUGGAUGGCAGCACACGAGUAGAACAGAGACAGGCUCUUAUGGAGCGCUUUAACGCAGACCGCAGAAUCUUCUGCUUCAUUCUGUCGACGCGCAGUGGGGGCGUGGGGGUUAACCUCACUGGAGCCGACACCGUUGUGUUCUAUGACAGUGACUGGAAUCCGACCAUGGAUGCUCAGGCACAGGACCGUUGCCAUCGAAUCGGCCAGACCCGAGACGUCCACAUCUACAGGUUGAUCAGUGAGCGCACAGUGGAGGAAAACAUUCUAAAGAAAGCUAACCAGAAAAGGAUGCUGGGAGAUAUGGCGAUUGAAGGAGGAAACUUUACUACUGCCUUUUUCAAGCAGCAAACCAUCAGGGAGCUGUUUGAUGUCAACGAUGGUGAGAAGAGGGAUGUGGCAGUGGAGCUGUCCGUACCUCAGUCAGAGGAGGAGGAAGGUGUCACCAAACAAAGCACCACCAUUCUGGAGCAGGCGCUGUGUCGUGCUGAGGAUGAGGAGGAUAUAGUGGCUGCUUCUCAGGCCAAAGCGGAGCAGGUGGCAGAGCUGGCAGAGUUUAAUGAGAACAUACCGCUGGAUGACGGCGGGGAACAAGAGGAGGUGGAGGAGCUUUCCAAAGCUGAGCAGGAAAUUGCAGCUCUUGUUGAACAGCUCACUCCCAUUGAGCGGUAUGCCAUGAACUUCCUGGAGGCUUCAUUAGAAGAUGUAUGCAAAGAGGAGUUAAAGCAGGCUGAGGUAAGCCCUCACUAAUCCCCCUUUCAUAUUUAAAUGAAAUGUUAAUACAAAUGGUAUUUUUUCCUGGUUAACUGUAGAAUUCAUUAUGCAUUGGUGU